AUUGAACGCUGGCGGCAUGCCUUACACAUGCAAGUCGAACGGCAGCGGACCUUCGGGUGCCGGCGAGUGGCGAACGGGUGAGUAAAGUAUCGGAACGUACCUUUCAGUGGGGGAUAACUGUCCGAAAGGACAGCCAAUACCGCAUAUUCUGUGAGCAGGAAAGCAGGGGAUCGCAAGACCUUGCGCUGAUUGAGCGGCCGAUAUCAGAUUAGCUAGUUGGUGAGGUAAAGGCUCACCAAGGCGACGAUCUGUAGCGGGUCUGAGAGGAUGAUCCGCCACACUGGAACUGAGACACGGUCCAGACUCCUACGGGAGGCAGCAGUGGGGAAUCUUAGACAAUGGGCGCAAGCCUGAUCUAGCCAUGCCGCGUGAGCGAUGAAGGCCUUAGGGUUGUAAAGCUCUUUCAGUGGGGAAGAUAAUGACUGUACCCACAGAAGAAGCCCUGGCUAACUCCGUGCCAGCAGCCGACGG
rnacentral:rRNA from 1 species